rnacentral:rRNA from 1 species
UACGUAGGGGGCGAGCGUUGUCCGGAUUCAUUGGGCGUAAAGAGCUCGUAGGCGGCUUGGCAAGUCGGGUGUGAAAACUCCAGGCUCAACCUGGAGACGCCACCCGAUACUGCCAUGGCUUGAGUCCGGUAGGGGACCACGGAAUUCCUGGUGUAGCGGUGAAAUGCGCAGAUAUCAGGAGGAACACCGAUGGCGAAGGCAGGUCUCUGGGCCACUACUGACGCUGAGAAGCGAAAGCAUGGGGGAGCGAACAGG